CAGCCGCCGCGGGAAUACGUAGGGUGCGAGCGUUAAUCGGAAUUACUGGGCGUAAAGCGGGCGCAGACGGUUACUUAAGCAGGAUGUGAAAUCCCCGGGCUCAACCUGGGAACUGCGUUCUGAACUGGGUGACUAGAGUGUGUCAGAGGGAGGUAGAAUUCCACGUGUAGCAGUGAAAUGCGUAGAGAUGUGGAGGAAUACCGAUGGCGAAGGCAGCCUCCUGGGAUAACACUGACGUUCAUGCCGAAAGCGUGGGUAGCAAACAGGAUUAGAGACCCGCGUAGUCCCUGUCUCUUAUACA
rnacentral:rRNA from 1 species